AUAUCUCUUUGGGCAAUGUAUACAAUCUAUACAAUGCCCUGUGACAGAGAAAGCGAUCUCCUUUUCCAGAGUUCAAUUAUUUGUCAAGCAAUCAUUUUACUCUUCCAACAACUACUGCAUAAAUGGGAAAACGAAACCGAUUUUGUUUUGUUCUCCGCGCUCCCAGCACCAGGUGGAACCACGCGCGGCGCUUCCGAUCUCGGAGGAUGUAACAAGACGAGCGGUUGACGAAGCUGCGUUGUGUAGCCAGCCGGUUUAUCUUUUUAUGUUGUACAGUUUGUUAGUUUACCGUAAAUAUGUCUUGAUUUGUACUCAAGAGUGGAGCAAGGCCCUAUGGAACAGAGAUUGACGCAUCGUCAGCGAAGAACAGACGCGAUGGAUGGUUAGGCUGCUUGACUCUCGGCUGUACGACUCUCGGCAUGUUAGGACUAGCAAAGUUCCGAAUUUGUCGCGGUGUGGUGUACGCUUCUGUGCUCGUCAAGUGCCGUCAGAGCGCGGGGAUGUUUGAACGGAAUGUGUCCCUUCGUCUACAAAACUCUGCACGCUGCGGCAUCGAAGUCCUGUGUACGGGUGCACGUAUGCGCUUGGAUACGGGAUAGCCUGCCCUCAACGGAUGUUCAACAGUGUACGCACGCUGCGCGUACGCGUACGUAUGAGACUAGUUGCUGGUGUCCUGCUGGAGCUGAGAAGAGAUCUGCUGCCUACCAUGAGACCAUGUCUCUCAAGUUACCGCAAUAUUGUUGCCUUCAAACCUGUCGAGACAAGGUUUCUUUACAUGGCCAUGGCGCUCAAGGAUGAAACAGAGACUGUAGACUGCCAACGUUCAUUCCUGUUCCGGCAAAGACGGGCCAGCAGUAACCAGCAGGAUUUUACAAAGUGAACUCAUCACAGCUUGAGCCACUCCAUGCCACAAGCAGUUGCUCCUCGAGCCACCGUGAAAAGGUUCCUUGGGGCACAAGUCCAACUCAGCGCCACAACCUUUCUUCUGCAGUUUUUCUACCUACUUAGCUAACCAGCAGCAAGUUUAUCCUUGCAAGCCAUGUGGGAACAGCUUUCACCAGGAAACAGUGCAAGACGAGUGGUCGAAGAAAAUAAAAUUGCUUCUGUGAUCUAAAGUACUUGACGAAUAAAAUUUUGCACUU